UACGAAGGGGGCUAGCGUUGCUCGGAAUCACUGGGCGUAAAGCGCACGUAGGCGGCUUUCUAAGUCAGGGGUGAAAUCCUGGAGCUCAACUCCAGAACUGCCUUUGAUACUGGAGAGCUUGAGUCCGGGGGAGGUGAGUGGAACUCCGAGUGUAGAGGUGAAAUUCGUAGAUAUUCGGAAGAACACCCGUGGCGAAGGCGGCUCUCUGGGACGGUACUGACGCUGAGACGCGAAAGCGUGGGGAGCGAACAGG
rnacentral:rRNA from 1 species